GGUGAAAUCCCAUAGCUUAACUAUGGAACUGCCUUUUGAUUACUGGUUGACUUGAGUUAUACGGAAGUAGAGUAGAAUAAGUAGUGUAGCGGUGAAAUGCAUAGAUAUUACUUAGAAUACCGAUUGCGAAGGCAGUCUACUACGUAUAUACUGACGCUCAUGGACGAAAGCGUGGGGAGCGAACAGGAUUAGAUACCCUGGUAG
rnacentral:rRNA from 1 species